AGCGAACGCUGGCGGCAGGCCUAACACAUGCAAGUCGAACGGAUCCUUCGGGAUUAGUGGCGGACGGGUGAGUAACACGUGGGAACGUGCCCUUUGGUUCGGAACAACUCAGGGAAACUUGAGCUAAUACCGGAUGUGCCCUUCGGGGGAAAGAUUUAUCGCCAUUGGAGCGGCCCGCGUCUGAUUAGCUAGUUGGUGGGGUAAAGGCCCACCAAGGCGACGAUCAGUAGCUGGUCUGAGAGGAUGAUCAGCCACAUUGGGACUGAGACACGGCCCAAACUCCUACGGGAGGCAGCAGUGGGGAAUCUUGCGCAAUGGGCGAAAGCCUGACGCAGCCAUGCCGCGUGAAUGAUGAAGGUCUUAGGAUUGUAAAAUUCUUUCACCGGGGACGAUAAUGACGGUACCCGGAGAAGAAGCCCCGGCUAACUUCGUGCCAGCCGCCGCGGUAA
rnacentral:rRNA from 1 species